CCUUGAAAUACCACCCUUGUAUGUUUGAUGUUCUAACGUUGCCCCCUUAUCGGGGGUGCGGACAGUGCCUGGUGGGUAGUUUGACUGGGGCGGUCUCCUCCCAAAGAGUAACGGAGGAGCACGAAGGUUGGCUAAGUACGGUCGGACAUCGUACGGUUAGUGCAAUGGCAUAAGCCAGCUUAACUGCGAGACGGACAGGUCGAGCAGGUGCGAAAGCAGGUCAUAGUGAUCCGGUGGUUCUGUAUGGAAGGGCCAUCGCUCAACGGAUAAAAGGUACUCCGGGGAUAACAGGCUGAUACCGCCCAAGAGUUCAUAUCGACGGCGGUGUUUGGCACCUCGAUGUCGGCUCAUCACAUCCUGGGGCUGAAGUCGGUCCCAAGGGUAUGGCUGUUCGCCAUUUAAAGUGGUACGCGAGCUGGGUUCAGAACGUCGUGAGACAGUUCGGUCCCUAUCUGCCGUGGGCGUUGGAUGAUUGAGGGGGGUUGCUCCUAGUACGAGAGGACCGGAGUGAACGAACCGCUGGUGUUCGGGUUGUCAUGCCAAUGGCACUGCCCGGUAGCUAAGUUCGGAAUCGAUAACCGCUGAAAGCAUCUAAGCGGGAAGCGAGCCCCGAGAUGAGUCAUCCCUGGCUCCUAGAGAGCCCUGAAGGGACGUUUGAGACUAAGACGUUGAUAGGCAGGGUGUGUAAGCGUAGUGAUACGUUGAGCUAACCUGUACUAAUGCCCCGUGCGGCUUAACCAUACAACACCCAAGAAGUGU
rnacentral:rRNA from 1 species